rnacentral:rRNA from 1 species
CUACGGGAGGCAGCAGUGGGGAAUAUUGCACAAUGGAGGAAACUCUGAUGCAGCAACGCCGCGUGGAGGAUGACACUUUUCGGAGCGUAAACUCCUUUUAUAUAGGAAGAAGAUGACGGUACUAUAUGAAUAAGCGCCGGCUAACUCCGUGCCAGCAGCCGCGGUAAUACGGAGGGCGCAAGCGUUACUCGGAAUCACUGGGCGUAAAGAGCGUGUAGGCGGAUUAAAAAGUCAGAAGUGAAAUCCUAUAGCUUAACUAUAGAACUGCUUCUGAAACUCUUAAUCUAGAAUAUGGGAGAGGUAGAUGGAAUUUCUGGUGUAGGGGUAAAAUCCGUAGAGAUCAGAAGGAAUACCGAUUGCGAAGGCGAUCUACUAGAACAUUAUUGACGCUGAGACGCGAAAGUGUGGGGAGCAAACAGGAUUAGAUACCCUAGUAGUC